GGACGAGCCACUGGAAUGAGACAAAUGUGCAUGUAUAAAGAACAAAAUAUGCAAAUCUGAAGAAAGGGAACCGUAGAGAAUUCAGAAUCACAUCGCCAAGCAGGGUAAUAGCAUUGAUAGAAUGCAUACCAAUAACUAGAAAUUGCAAUCCGGAACCACUGGGCAAGAAAAACGGGUAGAUAAGAAGCCAAUAAACGCAAUCCGUAAGCACCACGGCACCAGCACAGACCUGAAAAAUUAUCUGAAAGAGAUAACCCAAAUAACCUGCCGGUUCUCUAUCAUCAAUUUCCUCAA
rnacentral:misc_RNA from 1 species